GAGAAUACAAGCGAAGUCCUUGCAAAUACAAGUGCAACCCAGUGAAUAUGAAUAAAGUUCCUGCAGAUCAAUCUCUGGAAGAAGAAUUUCGUCUGGAAACAUCUGAUAAUCUGGGAAUGAUUCUCGUUAGUGCACCGCUGAAAGGCACAAAUUAUCUUUCCUCGAGUUGCUUAAUGGUGAUAGCGCUAUGUGCAAAGGACAAGCUAGGAUUCAUUGACGGUAAGAUUUAAAAACCUGAUAUGAACUCUCCUAUGUUUAAAAGGUGGAGACGUGUUGAUUGUAUGGUGUUUUCUUGGAUAUUAAAUUCAAUUUCAAAAGAUCUAGUUAAUGCAUUCUUGUAUGUCAUCAAACAACGUGUGUACUGCUAUAAAUAAAAAC
rnacentral:misc_RNA from 1 species